rnacentral:rRNA from 1 species
UAACACGUGGGUAACGCACCCCGAUGAUUGGGACAACCCGAGGAAACUCGAGCUAAUACCAAAUGUGCUUACAGAUCAUAAGGUCUGUACGGAAAGGAAGCUUCGGCCUCCGCAUCGGGACCGGCCCGCGGCCCAUUAGCUUGUUGGUGAGGUAACGGCUUACCAAGGCGACGAUGGGUAGCUGGUCUGAGAGGACGAUCAGCCACACUGGGACUGAGACACGGCCCAG